GCCAGGUGUGGUGGUGCACGCCUGUAAUCCCAGCUACUUGGGAGGCUGAGGCAGGAGAAUUGCUCGAACCCAGGAGGCCGAGGUUGCAGUGAGCUGAGAUCCCGCCAGUACACUCUAGCCUGGGUAACAGAGCAAAACUCUAUCUCAA
rnacentral:SRP_RNA from 1 species